rnacentral:rRNA from 1 species
GACGGAGGGGGCGAGCGUUGUUCGGAAUUAUUGGGCGUAAAGGGCUCGUAGGCGGAUCCGCCAGUCUGACGUGCAAUCUCCACCGCUCACCGGGGAGGGGCCGUUGGAUACUACGGAUCUGGAGUUCGGCAGAGGACCAUGGAAUUCCGGGUGUAGCGGUGGAAUGCGUAGAGAUCCGGAAGAACACCGGUGGCGAAGGCGGCCUGCUGGGCAGUGGCUGACGCUGAGGCGCGACAGCGUGGGGAGCAAACAGG